rnacentral:rRNA from 1 species
GAAACGACUGCUAAGACUGGAUAGGAAACAAAAAGGCAUCUUUUUGUUUUUAAAAGACCUUCUUAGAAGGUAUGCUUAAAGAGGGGCUUGCGCCACAUUAGUUAGUUGGUAGGGUAAAAGCCUACCAAGACGAUGAUGUGUAGCUGGACUUAGAGGUUGAACAGCCACAUUGGGACUGAGACACGGCCCAAACUCCUACGGGAGGCAGCAGUAGGGAAUUUUCGGCAAUGGAGGAAACUCUGACCGAGCAACGCCGCGUGAACGAUGAAGUAUUUCGGUAUGUAAAGUUCUGUUAUUGAAGAAGAAAAAGUAGUGGAAAAACUAUAUUGACGUUAUUCAAUGAAUAAGCCCCGGCUAACUAUGUGCCAGCAGCCGCGGUAAGACAUAGGGGGCGAGCGUUAUCCGGAAUUAUUGGGCGUAAAGGGUGCGUAGGCUGUUAGAUAAGUCUAUAAUUUAAUUUCAGUGCUUAACGCUGUUUUGUUAUAGAAACUGUCUUGACUAGAGCGAGAUAGAGGCAAGCGGAAUUCCAUGUGUAGCGGUAAAAUGUGUAAAUAUAUGGAGGAACACCAGAAGCGUAGGCGGCUUGGUGGGUCUUUACUGACGCUGAGGCACGAAAGCGUGGGUAGCAAACAGGAUUAGAUACCCUGGUAGUCCACGCCGUAAACGAUGAGUACUAAGUGUCGGGGUAAAACUCGGUACUGAAGUUAACACAUUAAGUACUCCGCCUGAGUAGUACGUACGCAAGUAUGAAACUUAAAGGAAUUGACGGGACUCCGCACAAGCGGUGGAUCAUGUUGUUUAAUUCGAAGAUGCACGAAAAAUCUUACCAGGUCUUGACAUACUCUGCUAAGCCAUAGAAAUAUAGUGGAGGUUAUCAGGGAUACAGGUGGUGCAUGGUUGUCGUCAGUUCGUGUCGUGAGAUGUUAGGUUAAGUCCUAAAACGAGCGCAACCCCUGUCGUUAAUUGCCAGCACGUAAUGGUGGGAGCUUUAGCAAGACUGCCAAUUAAACAUUGGAGGAAGGUGAGGAUUACGUCAAAUCAUCAUGCCCCUUAUGAUCUGGGCUACAAACGUGAUACAAUGGCUGUGACAAAGAGUAGCUGAGACGCGAGUUUUUAGCCAAUCUCAAAAAAGCAGUCUCAGUUCGGAUUGAAGUCUGUAACUCGACUUCAUGAAGUUGGAAUCGCUCGUAAUCGCGAAUCACCAUGUCCCGGUGAAUACGUUCUCGGGGUUUGUACACGCCGCCCGUCAAA